rnacentral:rRNA from 1 species
UACGUAGGGCGCGAGCGUUGUCCGGAAUUAUUGGGCGUAAAGAGCUCGUAGGCGGCCGGUUGCGUCUGCUGUGAAAUCCCGGGGCUUAACCCCGGGCGUGCAGUGGAUACGGGCCGGCUGGAGGCAGGCAGGGGAGAAUGGAAUUCCCGGUGUAGCGGUGAAAUUCGUAGAUAUUAGGAAGAACACCAGUGGCGAAGGCGGCUCACUGGCCCGGUACUGACGCUGAGGCGCGAAAGCGUGGGGAGCAAACAGG